CUCAUGGCUUGCAUUAGUGCCUGAGCUCCACCUCCUGUCAGAUCAGCAGCGGCAUUAUAUUCGCAUGGGAUCACGAACCCUGUAGUGAACUGUGCAUUGGAGGGACCUAGGUUGUGUGCUCCUUAUGAGAAUCUAAUGCCUGAUGAUCUGUCACCAUCUCCAGUCGCCCCCAGGUGGGACUGUCCAGUUGCAGGAAACACACUUCAGGGCUUCUACCAGUUCUGCAUUAUGGUCUAUUCAUGUUGCUGGAGGCAAAGACACUUGCAGCAAAAUGGAGAGAGAAGAGGAUAAAGAGAUAGGUCCCAGCUUGAAAUCAAAGCAGCCUCUAUUGCUUCCUGAUGCUUGGUAACAUCACUUAUGUGGCCCAGGAAGAGCUUUGAGUUACUGAUGACUCUCAUUCCAUGUGGCUAUGUGUUCAUUCACUCUGCAAUGAUUUACUGAGUUCCUACUAUGUACCAGCACUCUGCCAGGUGCUUGCGUUCAAAAGGAAAAUGAAGAACAUCCCCUGGAAGUAACCACGGCUUGAAACUAGUGCUACAAUCCUUUGUACCCCCAGGUCAUCCCCACUUAAGCCAGAGCAGCUGCCCUUUGCUUUGACGAGAUCUGGCAGCCUCUCAGCUCCUAAAUCCACUUCUCAGAUCCUGUAUAGAAUCAUUGACCACGACAAUUACCUUAAAGCAACGUUUUAAAUGGACACAUCAACAGUCCAUGUGGCUGUCAAUUUGCAUAUUUUUUUUCCUUACUUGAUACUAUUGGAAAAUGGUAGCAAUACCUUCAGCAGUGAUCUCAGUCAUGGUGGUCGUCAAAAGUAAAUGUCAGUUGAAAAGUUCCCGUCAAGUAGCACUUUGCAGACUA